rnacentral:rRNA from 1 species
AUUGAACGCUGGCGGCAGGCCUAACACAUGCAAGUCGAGCGCGCGGCGGACGGGUGAGUAAUGUCUGGGAAACUGCCUGAUGGAGGGGGCUAACUCCUGGAAACGGUAGCUAUUACCGCAUACCAUCAGAUGUGCCCAGAUGGGAUUAGCUCGUAGGUGGGGUAAAGGCUCACCUAGGCGACGAGCACUCUCUGGUCUGAGAGGAUGACCAGCCACACUGGAACUGAGACACGGUCCAGACUCCUACGGGAGGCAGCAGUGGGGAAUAUGGCACAAGGGGCGCAAGCCUGAUGCAGCCAUGCCGCGUGUGUGAAGAAGGCCUGCGGGUUGUAAAGCACUUUCAGCGGGGAGGCGUUACUCGCAGAAGAAGCACCGGCUAACUCCGUGCCAGCCGCCGCGGUAAUAC